ACUUUGUCUCGCUAGGUGGAGCUCUCGAGUAGUAGGACAGAAUGAUCCACUAAUACAUACAUUCACCGCGGAAGAAAUGGGCGCACGAGUUGAUACUGUUGCGAAGGUGUAUUGCAGCAGCCUCCCAGAUAUGUGCGACGGCACAGGAGGCGUGGUUUGUGGGGCACUGUGUGGCACCGUCCGACGAGGACAGAGGACAGGAGGGUAGCGAGAGACCUCGAGGGAACAAGUCGUACUCUGGGGAGCAGUCAGAGAGUGAACGAGAGACGGAGAGACAGUGAAGUGCCUGACGAACUAACAAAGUGUUACCCGUACUUUGCUGCCGCCCCCUGCCCUGCCCCGUCCUGUGUGCCGCCGCCACCUGUUCCGGUGACUCGUGUAUAGUUGCUGUAAUAUAGAGAAAUAAGGAA